GGUCUAGUUAAGCAUUAUACAGCGAAACUGCGAAUGGCUCAUUAAAUCAGUUAUCGUUUAUUUGAUAGUACCUUACUACUUGGAUAACCGUGGUAAUUCUAGAGCUAAUACAUGCUAAAAACCCCGACUCACGAAGGGGUGUAUUUAUUAGAUAAAAACCAAUGCCCUUCGGGGCUCUUUGGUGAUUCAUAAUAACUUUUCGAAUCGCAUGGCCUUGCGCCGGCGAUGGUUCAUUCAAAUUUUGCCCUAUCAACUUUCGAUGGCAGGUCUUGGCCUGCCAUGGACAACGGUUAAGGGGAAUGG
rnacentral:rRNA from 1 species